AUACGAAGGGCCCGAGCGUUGCGCGGAAUCACUGGGCUUAAAGCGUACGUAGGCGGACAAGCAGGCAUCUUGUGAAAUCCCUCGGCUCAACCGAGGAAUUGCUUGGUGAACCGCUUGUCUUGAGGCGAGUAGGGGCUGUCGGAACGAUAGGUGGAGCGGUGAAAUGCGUUGAUAUCUAUCGGAACGCCAAAGGCGAAGGCAGACAGCUGGGCUUGUCCUGACGCUGAGGUACGAAAGCGUGGGGAGCGAACGGGAGUAGAAACCCCAGUAGUCC
rnacentral:rRNA from 1 species